rnacentral:sRNA from 1 species
UGUCGAAUUCCAACGAGUAGGUACAGAU